rnacentral:rRNA from 1 species
CCCUUAGAUGUCCUGGGCUGCACGCGCGCUACACUGGAAGUUACGUAUUGAGAUACUACCUUGUCCGAAAUGGUCCGGGUAAUCACCUAAAAGCUUGUCAUAAUUGGAAUGGAUUAUUGUAACUAGUAAUCCUGAACGAGGAAUUCCUAGUAAGUCCCAGUCAACAGCUGGUACUGAUUACGUCCCUGCCCUUUGUACACACCGCCCGUCGCUACUACUGAUUGGACGUUUAAGCAAGAUUUUUAAACACUGACAGUGUGUAGUUCACGCUAUACUACAGUGAGAAGAAGAAGAUCGAGCUUACUUGUCUAGAGGAAGUAAAAGUCGUAACA